ACACUGAAGGCACAGGGCACUUCAUUCUCAAAAACAUUUGACAUCUUCACACAGAGCACGUGCCGCCUGUGACACUGAAGGCACAGGGCGCUUCAUGUUCAUAAAUAUUGACAUCGUCAGGCAGAGCAGUGCGCUGUUUGGGACAUUGGUGACAGAGGGCACUUCACGUUCGUGAACACUGACAUAGUCGGCCAGAGCAGCGUGCUACCUGUGACACUGAAGGCACAGGGCACUUCAUGCUCGUAAACACUGACAUCUUCAUACAGAGCAGCGGGCUGUCUGACACUGAUGGCACAGAGCGCUUCAUGUUCAGCGUAUGUGUCGCAUCUCCCUUUUGGCCCAUUACUUGUGGCAAUGUUGCAUGCAUGUUUGCAUUAGGGACUGUCGCAACCAUGUGUCGUUCCUCUUAAUGUCUCUCCUGGUACUGCAGAGCUUGAGACAGAGAUGCAAAAAGAGCAUUCGUUGACAGUUCUGGCAUGGACAGACACUCGUAAAUGACUACAGGCUUUAGGCUGCUUGUCUUGUCAAGCGUCUAUGCCUUUUUUGCGCUUGUCUGCUCAUACCAAAGCCUCACGUUAUCCAAUGUGCAAACUAGCCUUGCGAAGGUGUAACUGAGGCCAGAGUUCUUGAAGUACCAGGGGUGCAGCCCGAACACCACCGCUGUACUGUUGUUAUUAUGAGCUCGGUGGCAUGGGAACUUUUGAGCUGGAGUUUGCGCAGAGAGUACCUUAUCAAAGCCACCACUGCCGUUGUGUUUUCCAAUCAGCAGCAAAUUCCCCGCAUGUUGGAAAAAAACAAAUGUUUUCAAUGACAAGUUUAGUACUCUGUACUUUAAAUUGGUUUACAACCAUCAGGUCCGUACCUUUGUCAGGAAAGUAAUGGUCGUCAUCUAUCUUGUGUUAUUUUUCUCAAUUUAACACCACGUGCCUGGUGCUUUCAGUUAAUGAACAGCAUGUGUGUUUUCAGCAUGAUGUAGCAUUCUUGAUUGGAAGUAGCAUGCAUAGUUUUCAAGGAAGGAAACUAAAGCAAGCCAAAUGACUAAUAUUGGUGCGUGACAAAAAUACAUCCCAGAGUGUGCAAACUCUUUAAAGUUUUGUGCCUCUUUUGUAAAGGGGUAGGAUUCAACCGAGUUGUGGGAUAAUGCGUAUACCUCAACGAGUGUAAGAUAUUUUAGAGCGUAUUUCCUUGCAGUAAUGAAAGAAUGCGAUUGUUCCGCUCGCAGGAAUGCGUUGAACUGUAAACGCAUCUUUUUGCUCUCAACACAUCAGAUGAUGACGCUCAGUUGUCUAUGCUGCUGCUGCGGAAUAUUGCUAAACAAUAUCAAUAAUAACUUUUUAGUGCAGAAAAAAAAAACAAGAAAGAUGACAGUUGAAGGCACCUUGUCCUGUCACCUUCCUUAUGUUGCGUUUUUUCUUUUUACACUAAAAAGUUAUGGAUACGCACCAACUAGUACAUGAAUGCAUUGUUCAAAGCAGUAAGUCGUUAAGCCGCAAACAAGGCGGCAUAGGGUCUACCGUAAUUUAUUGCUUGCCAAAGUUUUGCCUUUGCUAAAGUGUAAGGAAACAAUGUCAAUGAUCUGUGCCAUUUGCGUGACAUUUUCCAAAAAAGAUUCUAAUCUGCUAGUUACUGCGACGUUGACUGUUCUCCAGUUAGCCCCCGAGAAGGAAAUCUGCAAGGAUUACAUUGUUCUAUGCAUGUUGGACAGGUCUUUUUCUUUUUCUAGACGAUUUCAUGCACUGGUAAGAAGCCCGUCGAGGGCUAUUCAAAUGCCUUUGACUUUCCCUGGUCGUUUCAUUUCUCUUCUGCUGCAAAUUGUUAUAGAUGCCUUGUGAAGACAAACAGGUACCCAUUUUCACAUCACGGCGGUUGUAUGCAUGUCUGGCUGACUGACGCAGACAGUGGAAAGUUAUAACGGAGAAGCAUAGACUUUGCCGUGUGUAUCUGUAGAUAAAGCUGUGCUCAUUACGACAUCUUGCGACCCGGCAUUUCUAACCGAGGUUUAGAGAACUUUUAUCGAAGACAUCGUUUUGUUGGGCCUCUUGCACCCUCGUUCCGUAAGGGUGUGCAAUCAAUACUGCUGACCGAAUUCAACAACGAUUUGUCAGUGCUGGCUGGCGUUAGCUGAAGGAUGGCUAGAGGUGGCUAAGUUUUGGCUGUGUUGCUUUACUUUGGCUAAAUGAUAGUAAAUGUUGUUGGCUAUCUGCUGUUAUAACAUCAGCAUUGUCUUUAUUGUACUUUAAUAUAAAGCAAUGACUGACUACUGAAUGUGCAAGUCCACAAACUGGACGUCGCACAAGAAAAAACACACAAGGGUCGAGUGCAUAAUCUUGUAUUAUAAUGGAACAGCUAGCCCCUCAACAUUUUCUUCUCGAGAGUGGGACGGGACAGGGGUUAAUCCCCUCUUACCCCCGCCUCGCCCGUACUUUUAAUAUUCAUUCAUUCUUUCAAUGAAAUGAUUGAGUUGUCCAGGAAAUUUUACAGUGACUUAGUAUGUUCGACUCAUCCGCUGCUCCAGUAGCAGCUGGCAGCGACAUGCAUGCCAGGAUGGUUAUUUUUGUUUUCUUCAAAUUGUGUCCUUCAAGACAAAAAAACGUUCCCUGCACGUGGCCUCUGCGAUCAGCUCCGGCGGUGCGCCGUAACGGCGCGCUGCCGGAGCUGAUCGCGGAGGCCACGCGUUACGGUCGAGCGCCACGUCGCAAGAUGUCGCCGUCAGCGCUGCCUGUUCCCCUUUAUGUCUUACGAUGUUGCGGCUGUGGUAUGCGCUGUUCUAUAAAUACCUAGUGAUGUUGCUGCAGUACUUUAGGGCGGAAGGGGGGAGGGGCACUUUCUCCGAUAGUAUGUGUCGGCAUGACGCUGAUGAUGCACAGUGACAGGUGGUAAAGUGAAAAUGGUUGAAAUAAAGUGCGCGUUCAUUUUUUCCUUCAGUGCCUGCCGUGUACAUAAAGAUUGCGUGCUGCAUUGCCAGCGGAGUUCUUUUUUUUUUUCCUUUCGAAUGUCUUACGUCGGAUUCUUUGUUUCGACCACUGCAGCUAUGGAUGCGUGGCGCGCCUGAAGUGGACACGCGUGUCUUGUUGCUUUGUCACGAUUGAUCAGAUGCUCGCAAUGGUCAGAUACGAAAGUAACUCGCAGAAAGAAGAAAAAAAGAUACUGUUGAAAGUGAAUAAAAAAAGUAUAUAUAUAUA